GAUCCUGAAUGAAGCACUGUGCCUCCUCCGUCCAUUGAACCGUAUUGGGUAAUGGACAGAGGAGGCACAGUGCUUCAUUCAGG